AAUUCGCCCUUAGAGUUUGAUCCUGGCUCAGGAUGAACGCUGGCGGCGUGCUUAACACAUGCAAGUCGAACGAGAACCAAUGGAAUGAGGAUUCGUCCAAAGGAAGUUGGGGAAAGUGGCGGACGGGUGAGUAACGCGUGAGCAAUCUGCCUUGGAGUGGGGAAUAACGGUUGGAAACAGCCGCUAAUACCGUAUGAUACAGCUAUCCCGCAUGGGGUUGGCUGUCAAAGAUUUAUCGCUCUGAGAUGAGCUCGCGUCUGAUUAGCUUGUUGGCGGGGUAACGGCCCACCAAGGCGACGAUCAGUAGCCGGAUUGAGAGGUUGGCCGGCCACAUUGGGACUGAGACACGGCCCAGACUCCUACGGGAGGCAGCAGUGGGGAAUAUUGGGCAAUGGGCGCAAGCCUGACCCAGCAACGCCGCGUGAAGGAAGAAGGCUUUCGGGUUGUAAACUUCUUUUCUCAGGGACGAAGAAAGUGACGGUACCUGAGGAAUAAGCCACGGCUAACUACGUGCCAGCAGCCGCGGUAAUACGUAGGUGGCAAGCGUUAUCCGGAUUUAUUGGGUGUAAAGGGCGUGUAGGCGGGAGCGCAAGUCAGAUGUGAAAACUCAGGGCUCAACCCUGAGCCUGCAUUUGAAACUGUGUUUCUUGAGUGCUGGAGAGGCAAUCGGAAUUCCGUGUGUAGCGGUGAAAUGCGUAGAUAUACGGAGGAACACCAGUGGCGAAGGCGGAUUGCUGGACAGUAACUGACGCUGAGGCGCGAAAGCGUGGGGAGCAAACA
rnacentral:rRNA from 1 species